rnacentral:rRNA from 1 species
GGGUUGUGAGGUUAAGCGACUAAGCGUACACGGUGGAUGCCCUGGCAGUCAGAGGCGAUGAAGGGCGUGCUAAUCUGCGAUAAGCGCCGGUAAGGUGAUAUGAACCGUUAUAACCGGCGAUACCCGAAUGGGGAAACCCAGUGUGAUUCGUCACACUAUCAUUAACUGAAUCCAUAGGUUAAUGAGGCGAACCGGGGGAACUGAAACAUCUAAGUACCCCGAGGAAAAGAAAUCAACCGAGAUUCCCCCAGUAGCGGCGAGCGAACGGGGAGGAGCCCAGAGCCUGAAUCAGCAUGUGUGUUAGUGGAAGCGUCUGGAAAGGCGCGCGAUACAGGGUGACAGCCCCGUACACAAAAGCGCAUAUGCUGUGAGCUCGAUGAGUAGGGCGGGACACGUGGUAUCCUGUCUGAAUAUGGGGGGACCAUCCUCCAAGGCUAAAUACUCCUGACUGACCGAUAGUGAACCAGUACCGUGAGGGAAAGGCGAAAAGAACCCCGGCGAGGGGAGUGAAAAAGAACCUGAAACCGUGUACGUACAAGCAGUGGGAGCACAGGUUUACCUGUGUGACUGCGUACCUUUUGUAUAAUGGGUCAGCGACUUAUAUUCUGUAGCAAGGUUAACCGAAUAGGGGAGCCGGAGGGAAACCGAGUCUUAAUUGGGCGUUAAGUUGCAGGGUAUAGACCCGAAACCCGGUGAUCUAGCCAUGGGCAGGUUGAAGGUUGGGUAACACUAACUGGAGGACCGAACCGACUAAUGUUGAAAAAUUAGCGGAUGACCUGUGGCUGGGGGUGAAAGGCCAAUCAAACCGGGAGAUAGCUGGUUCUCCCCGAAAGCUAUUUAGGUAGCGCCUCGUGAAUUCAUCUCCGGGGGUAGAGCACUGUUUCGGCUAGGGGGCCAUCCCGGCUUACCAACCCGAUGCAAACUGCGAAUACCGGAGAAUGUUAUCACGGGAGACACACGGCGGGUGCUAACGUCCGUCGUGAAGAGGGAAACAACCCAGACCGCCAGCUAAGGUCCCAAAGUCAUGGUUAAGUGGGAAACGAUGUGGGAAGGCCCAGACAGCCAGGAUGUUGGCUUAGAAGCAGCCAUCAUUUAAAGAAAGCGUAAUAGCUCACUGGUCGAGUCGGCCUGCGCGGAAGAUGUAACGGGGCUAAACCAUGCACCGAAGCUGCGGCAGCGACACUAUGUGUUGUUGGGUAGGGGAGCGUUCUGUAAGCCUGUGAAGGUGGCCUGUGAGGGUUGCUGGAGGUAUCAGAAGUGCGAAUGCUGACAUAAGUAACGAUAAAGCGGGUGAAAAGCCCGCUCGCCGGAAGACCAAGGGUUCCUGUCCAACGUUAAUCGGGGCAGGGUGAGUCGACCCCUAAGGCGAGGCCGAAAGGCGUAGUCGAUGGGAAACGGGUUAAUAUUCCCGUACUUGGUGUUACUGCGAAGGGGGGACGGAGAAGGCUAUGUUGGCCGGGCGACGGUUGUCCCGGUUUAAGCGUGUAGGCUGGUUUUCCAGGCAAAUCCGGAAAAUCAAGGCUGAGGCGUGAUGACGAGGCACUACGGUGCUGAAGCAACAAAUGCCCUGCUUCCAGGAAAAGCCUCUAAGCAUCAGGUAACAUCAAAUCGUACCCCAAACCGACACAGGUGGUCAGGUAGAGAAUACCAAGGCGCUUGAGAGAACUCGGGUGAAGGAACUAGGCAAAAUGGUGCCGUAACUUCGGGAGAAGGCACGCUGACACGUAGGUGAAGUGAUUUACUCAUGGAGCUGAAGUCAGUCGAAGAUACCAGCUGGCUGCAACUGUUUAUUAAAAACACAGCACUGUGCAAACACGAAAGUGGACGUAUACGGUGUGACGCCUGCCCGGUGCCGGAAGGUUAAUUGAUGGGGUCAGCGCAAGCGAAGCUCCUGAUCGAAGCCCCGGUAAACGGCGGCCGUAACUAUAACGGUCCUAAGGUAGCGAAAUUCCUUGUCGGGUAAGUUCCGACCUGCACGAAUGGCGUAAUGAUGGCCAGGCUGUCUCCACCCGAGACUCAGUGAAAUUGAACUCGCUGUGAAGAUGCAGUGUACCCGCGGCAAGACGGAAAGACCCCGUGAACCUUUACUAUAGCUUGACACUGAACAUUGAGCCUUGAUGUGUAGGAUAGGUGGGAGGCUUUGAAGCGUGGACGCCAGUCUGCGUGGAGCCGACCUUGAAAUACCACCCUUUAAUGUUUGAUGUUCUAACGUGGACCCGUUACCCGGGUUGCGGACAGUGUCUGGUGGGUAGUUUGACUGGGGCGGUCUCCUCCUAAAGAGUAACGGAGGAGCACGAAGGUUGGCUAAUCCUGGUCGGACAUCAGGAGGUUAGUGCAAUGGCAUAAGCCAGCUUGACUGCGAGCGUGACGGCGCGAGCAGGUGCGAAAGCAGGUCAUAGUGAUCCGGUGGUUCUGAAUGGAAGGGCCAUCGCUCAACGGAUAAAAGGUACUCCGGGGAUAACAGGCUGAUACCGCCCAAGAGUUCAUAUCGACGGCGGUGUUUGGCACCUCGAUGUCGGCUCAUCACAUCCUGGGGCUGAAGUAGGUCCCAAGGGUAUGGCUGUUCGCCAUUUAAAGUGGUACGCGAGCUGGGUUUAGAACGUCGUGAGACAGUUCGGUCCCUAUCUGCCGUGGGCGCUGGAGAACUGAGGGGGGCUGCUCCUAGUACGAGAGGACCGGAGUGGACGCAUCACUGGUGUUCGGGUUGUCAUGCCAAUGGCACUGCCCGGUAGCUAAAUGCGGAAGAGAUAAGUGCUGAAAGCAUCUAAGCACGAAACUUGCCCCGAGAUGAGUUCUCCCUGAGACUUAGAGUCUCCUGAAGGAACGUUGAAGACGACGACGUUGAUAGGCCGGGUGUGUAAGCGCAGCGAUGCGUUGAGCUAACCGGUACUAAUGAACCGUGAGGCUUAACCUUACAACGCCGAAG